rnacentral:rRNA from 1 species
CCUACGGGUGGCAGCAGUGGGGAAUAUUGGACAAUGGGGGCAACCCUGAUCCAGCCAUGCCGCGUGUGUGAAGAAGGCCCUCGGGUUGUAAAGCACUUUCAGUGAGGAAGAACGCCUGGUGGUUAAUACCCAUCAGGAAAGACAUCACUCACAGAAGAAGCACCGGCUAACUCCGUGCCAGCAGCCGCGGUAAUACGGAGGGUGCGAGCGUUAAUCGGAAUUACUGGGCGUAAAGCGCGCGUAGGUGGCUUGAUAAGCCGGUUGUGAAAGCCCCGGGCUCAACCUGGGAACGGCAUCCGGAACUGUCAAGCUAGAGUGCAGGAGAGGAAGGUAGAAUUCCCGGUGUAGCGGUGAAAUGCGUAGAGAUCGGGAGGAAUACCAGUGGCGAAGGCGGCCUUCUGGACUGACACUGACACUGAGGUGCGAAAGCGUGGGUAGCAAACAGGAUUAGACACCCCGGUAGUC